UACGUAGGUGGCAAGCGUUGUCCGGAAUUAUUGGGCGUAAAGCGCGCGCAGGCGGUCCCUUAAGUCUGAUGUGAAAGCCCACGGCUCAACCGUGGAGGGUCAUUGGAAACUGGGGGACUUGAGUACAGAAGAGGAAAGCGGAAUUCCACGUGUAGCGGUGAAAUGCGUAAAGAUGUGGAGGAACACCAGUGGCGAAGGCGGCUUUCUGGUCUGUAACUGACGCUGAGGCGCGAAAGCGUGGGGAGCAAACAGG
rnacentral:rRNA from 1 species